CCUACGGGAGGCAGCAGUGAGGAAUAUUGGUCAAUGGCCGAGCGGCUGAACCAGCCAAGUCGCGUGAGGGAAGACGGCCCUACGGGUUGUAAACCUCUUUUGUCGGGGAGCAAAGCGAGUCACGUGUGACUCAUUGAGAGUACCCGAAGAAAAAGCAUCGGCUAACUCCGUGCCAGCAGCCGCGGUAAUACUGAGGCUGCGUCCGUUAUCCGGAUUUAUUGGGGUUAAAGGGGUCGCAGGCGGAGGUGACAGGCAGCGGGAAAAUUGCGGGGCUCAAACCCGUCCUGCCGUUGAAACGGCAUCCCUUGAGUGCGCGAGAAGUAUGCGGAAUGCGUGGUGUAGCGGUGAAAUGCAUAGAUAUCACGCAGAACUCCGAGUGCGAAGGCAGCAUACCGGCGCGCAACUGACGCUCAUGCACGAAAGCGUGGGUAUCGAACAGGAUUAGAUACCCGAGUAGUC
rnacentral:rRNA from 1 species